rnacentral:rRNA from 1 species
CCUACGGGAGGCAGCAGUGGGGAAUAUUGCGCAAUGGGCGAAAGCCUGACGCAGCGACGCCGCGUGAGGGAUGAAGGUCUUCGGAUCGUAAACCUCUGUCAGCAGGGAAGAACGGUCACUGUGCUAAUCAGCAGUGAAUUGACGGUACCUGCAAAGGAAGCACCGGCUAACUCCGUGCCAGCAGCCGCGGUAAUACGGAGGGUGCGAGCGUUAAUCGGAAUUACUGGGCGUAAAGCGCUCGUAGGCGGUAUGUCAAGUCAAGGGUGAAAUCCCCGCGCUCAACGUGGGAACUGCCUUUGAAACUAGCAAACUGGAGUGUGUGAGAGGAUAGUGGAAUUCCAGGUGUAGGAGUGAAAGCCGUAGAUAUCUGGAGGAACAUCAGUGGCGAAGGCGACUAUCUGGCAUAUAACUGACGCUGAGGAGCGAAAGCGUGGGUAGCAAACAGGAUUAGAUACCCCAGUAGUC